rnacentral:rRNA from 1 species
GAUGAACGCUGGCGGCGUGCCUAAUACAUGCAAGUCGAGCGAACGGACGAGAAGCUUGCUUUUCUGAUGUUAGCGGCGGACGGGUGAGUAACACGUGGAUAACCUACCUAUAAGACUGGGAUAACUUCGGGAAACCGGAGCUAAUACCGGAUAAUAUUUUGAACCGCAUGGUUCAAAAGUGAAAGACGGUCUUGCUGUCACUUAUAGAUGGAUCCGCGCUGCAUUAGCUAGUUGGUAAGGUAACGGCUUACCAAGGCAACGAUGCAUAGCCGACCUGAGAGGGUGAUCGGCCACACUGGAACUGAGACACGGUCCAGACUCCUACGGGAGGCAGCAGUAGGGAAUCUUCCGCAAUGGGCGAAAGCCUGACGGAGCAACGCCGCGUGAGUGAUGAAGGUCUUCGGAUCGUAAAACUCUGUUAUUAGGGAAGAACAUAUGUGUAAGUAACUGUGCACAUCUUGACGGUACCUAAUCAGAAAGCCACGGCUAACUAUGUG